rnacentral:misc_RNA from 1 species
GGGUGCGACGAUUCCACGGGUCGCUGUGCGCGCGUGAGACGCAGCGUCGUAUGGAGGGAAAUCGGACGUCGCUGGUUGCAGUUCACGCCCGGCUGGACGCUCGCGUGCUGUCCCGUGCUUAGCAACCAUCCUUAACCCAGGGGUGACUUGUCUGUUCGUAGAAAACUGGUUUGUGUACGUGCCAGCUAGCGCCAGAUAAUGUAUGAAAUAAGUAAUAGUGCUACAUAUAUAAUUAUAUAUAUAUAAAGAGUAUUCUAUCGGCGGGUUGGGGUGAGGGGCUAGUGAUCUAAUAUGCUUACACCAUCUACCUGCCCUAAAUCUAAGUGCUUGCUCAGAUACUGAGUAAAAUAAUUUCGCUGAUCUCAUGUGGAUGAAUUAAUCUUGUCGUGGGAUAGGUUUGAUGUAGGAGAGCAGGGAGAAGAGGAGGAGGAAGAGGCGAAGGAGGAUGAGGAGGACAAAAUGGAAGCAGUAGAGAAGAGUAGGUGAUUGGGGGGAAACAAGCAGAGGAAGAAUGUUAAAUGUUAAGGGGAGGACGAAUUGAUCUCAGUAAGUGAUAUGCUUUGUAACCUGGUAGUAUGACGUGUCUGGUGUGACCUUGUAAACAACCGUGAUCACGUCGGGUGAAAUAGUGUGAUUCUUGUGGGCGCGUGCGUGCGUGAAUGCAUGUGUGCGUGCAUGCGUGUGUGGAUAGUGUGACAUUGUAGACAAAUGACUACCGCGGUGUGUAUAUGAUUAGCUUAAAAUAACAACGCGACGUAAUGCAACAGCUGCGGUUAACAAUAGCUUAACAUAGAUAUAACCGAACCACCUGCACGAGAAAGACGCGAAACGUAUUGGUCCAGCUCGUGUCUGCUUUAUAGUGGAGGGUUUGUGAAGGAAGAUGACCCAGUGCUUUAGCACGCACACGCUCGCGUUGCAUGUAAGAUUGGUGCAGUGGUCGAUGGCCGUUGUACAAAAUCAAGCAAGAUGCAGUCGUAGCGCAUAGCUCAAAAUAAAUAGUCACACGUCUAAAUUAUGGAAGGUGAAUCCGCUGUAACGUGCAUGUAGUCAUUGUAAUAAUGGUGCUGAGCUUUUACAUGUGCGCGUGUGCGCGCGCGCGUGAUGCAUCCUAGAUGUAAAGCUGUGAGACUGUGUACUUGAAUAUGUGAGCUCCCAUUACUUGUUAGUAAAAUUUUCUAUUAUCAUGGCACCAUCAGUAUUUGAAUGCAUGCCUGCGCGUUGUGGCAGGGAUGCGAUCUUCGGUGACUAUGGUCCGUGCAGUAAAUUCUAUUGCCAAGUAUUGUGGAGUCCUAGCUAUAGAAAUAAUGAUAUUGCCUUUGCGUUAUUUUCGCCUAAUUUUGUUGGUAUCUGUUAUACCAAGUGUCUGUCUAAGACGAUAGCAGUUAUUUUCAGUAUACAUUGUAGUAUAUAUGGUAUAUAUAGUAUAUAUAGUUACACUGUAGUAUAUAUACCCUAUAGAUAGAUUUGAGUGCCCGCACUCUGUGAAACUUCCAGCUGACGCCAGCACUGUGCAUACACGCUGCCCUAGUGGCAUCUUUAUGAUACUCUUCUAUGAAUCUCCGGCACUCGUGGUCACAGGGUAUGCGGAAGAUUAAUGUCUUCAGUGGAUACGUGGUGAAACGACGUUGACCUUGGCAACUGUGAGAGUAGUGCAGCUCACGAAAACGUGCUCGUUACUUACGUUGUCAAUGUCGAUGGGAAUCUCGAACUGCGAUGCAGAAUCUCAGAAGUCUUGCGAGCGACACCGGUUCUAUAUGCUGUCGUGCGCGGGCCGCGGCGCAGCUAGGGGUCGGUCGCUUGAUGCCGUGUGGACACAUAAACACUGAUGGAUUUGUUUUGAUGAGGCCAGUUUUGAUGUGAUGUGAAGAGGUAACAUGCAUCCGAUGCUACAGUGGAUGUAGCACUGGGUGCUGCAGGGAUCCGUGGCGGAUGUGCAGGGAUCCAUGGCGGAAGCUGCAGCGAUCUGUGGCGGAAACUGCAGGGAUCUGUGGCGGAAGCUGCGGGGAUCCAUGGCGGAAGCUGCAGCGAUCUGUGGCGGAAGCUGCAGGGAUCUGUGGCGGAAGCUGCAGCGAUCUGUGGCAGAAGCUGCAGGGAUCUGUGGCGGAAGCUGCGGGGAUUUGUGGCAGUUGCUGCAGGGAUCUGUGGCGGAAGCUGCAGGGAUCUGUGGCGGAAGCUGCAGGGAUCUGUGGUAGAUGCUGCAGGGAUCUGUGGCGGAUGCUGCAAGGAUCUGUGGUGGUUGCUGCAGGGAUCUGUGGCGGAUGCUGCAGGGAUCUGUGGUAGAUGCUGCAGGGAUCAGUGGUGGAUGCUGCGGGGAUCUGUGGCGGAUGCUGCAGUGAUCAGUGGUGGAUGCUGCAGGGAUCUGUGGCAGAUGCUGCAGGGAUCUGUGGCAGAUGCUGCAGAGAUCUGUGGCAGAUGCUGCAGGGAUCUGUGGUAGAUGCUGCAGGGAUCAGUGGUGGAUGCUGCAGGGAUCUAGGGAUCUGUGGUAGAUGCUGCAGGGAUCUAGGGAUCUGUGGUAGAUGCUGCAGGGAUCUGUUGUGGAUGCUGCAGGGAUCUAGGGAUCUGUGGUAGAUGCUGCAGGGAUCUGUUGUGGAUGCUGCGGUGGGUGCUGGGCAGACGUUACUUGCUUGCCACGAAAUCAGCUUCGUUAGUAGUGGUAUUUAUAUAUCCCGUAUGUAAAUAUUGCAUGUUGACCCGUCGUUCCUGUUCAUUGUUCUCUAAAGCGAAUGCAAUUAAAAAGCAUAUGAAACCAUGA